UACGGAGGGGGCUAGCGUUGUUCGGAAUUACUGGCGUAAAGCGCACGUAGGCGGCUUUGUAAGUUAGAGGUGAAAGCCCAGGGCUUAACCCUGGAAUUGCCUUUAAGACUGCAUCGCUAGAAUCGUGGAGAGGUGAGUGGAAUUCCGAGUGUAGAGGUGAAAUUCGUAGAUAUUCGGAAGAACACCAGUGGCGAAGGCGGACUCACUGGCCCGGUACUGACGCUGAGGUGCGAAAGCGUGGGGAGCAAACAGG
rnacentral:rRNA from 1 species